AGUGUCGGAUAAUUGACCACAGUGUCGAUAAGACAGGUGUCUUAGGAAGAUGACUCGGUUGCUUUGCUUCGUUUGCACAGGUGUUGCAGAAGCAGCGAAACCGAUCGACGUUAACUUGUUUCAGAAGAUGACCGCAGCGUCGAUAAGAAAGGUGACUUGGUUGCUGUGCUUCGUUGCACAGAUGUUGCAAAAACAGCAAACCCGACAAACAGUUGAAAUGUGAGUAGACUUCAGGUGACUGCAGAGGGAAAGAUAGUGUUUAAGACGGAAAGUGGUUUUCGUCUCGUUUUAUCUCCAUUCCAUGGCAGGAGGUAGUACGACUCGAAUCCUUGCUUAGCUGCACUUUGCAAGUCAUAGCAAGUGCAAAACUCUUCAGGAGUCCAUCCCGUGGCUCAUCUCCAGAGUAGGAAGAUAGACAUAAAUGCUUCAUGUCCUGCUUCAUCGUGAAUUACUGCGUGGGUCUUGCAGUUGAGAUAACAAGGCAAAGAAAAAUAGUAAUUCGGCCGUCAGCAGUUACCAAGUGAGCUGACUGAAGCCGAAAGGUUUCGAUUUCAGCGCAGGUACGAGGCACGAGACGUCCCGAGGGAAGGUCUUGCCGGUAAAGCUAAACCGAGCAGAACCGCAACGGUAAGGGACAAUGCAAAAUUUACGAAAUAUUGGAUUGAUUUCGUUGUCUCGACUUUCGAGUAACACUUACGUUAAUGUUUUAUAGCAAGAUUCUGGAGUAGCAUCAACUGUGCAAACUGACCACACCUUUUCCUGUGGAACGAUUUAAAUAUGAACCCGAAAGCCUAUGUAGUUAGAACCUGCAAUCCUAUGUGAACUCGUUCAGCACUCAUGUGAAUCAUUUGGCAAUCCCAAAGCUGAACGAAGGGUCAACGUCAUAUUGAAUGGAAGGUGUACCAGUUACUGUGGUUGACUUUCGUUGUAUUGUCUGCAACAGACACCGCGCUGCCGAGUGGAGGUCCUGAUGGAUUUAUCCAACCCUGCAUGGAGCGCCACCGUCUCGUGAGUGACCAGCGACGGUGAUGUCGGGUCACGAACAAAAGUAAGAACAACCCUUGAGAUCAAAAGAUCAAAGCCAACGGGCAUGUGCUCACUUGUUAAAGUCAAGCAGACGAGUUUGCUACAAUCUGCUUCAGCGUAUGCAUGAAGGUCGUGAUAAGGGUCAGUUGGUGCUCGAGGUAUAAGUUGUGGUGAAGCAACAAUCUUGUGCAUUGCCUUGAAACUAGAUCCAGCGACAUGGAUCUGUGCAGACCAAAAGAUGCGCGGGCAUAGAACCGGCAUAGACAAUAGGACAAACUGCUCGUGUGCUGCGAUGCUCGCAUCGUCUGGUCCCUCCCAAUGUCCUCAGGUCAUUGGAGCCAGCAGCAGAGUGCGUCCUACACAGGUAUCUGAGAUACCAAAAGGUCUACAAGCACCACCAAUCUCUCGGCAUGUCAGAUUGACUUCAGCCUCAACACCUCACCCGAGCCCUUAGGACCAACAUCUCGAUGCUGAGUGCUGCCAGAAGUCGGAAACGCAUCCUUCUGUUCUAACGGAGGCAAACGAUCACUUGCCCGUCGGUUGUAACUUAUCUCCUCCAGGUGUGGCGGCCAUAAAGCAGACGGAUGGACCCAUCACGUUAUCACUCGUAUAAGUGGACAUCAUCUUUCCACAAUAUUAUGGAGACUCCAGAAUCUAACAAACCAGUAGACACUUGUCAAGAUGCUACAGCUAAAGGAUCAAAUAUGGAGGACUUGGCGAAAUGUAUGGUCUCGUUAUAUCAACCACCAUUGGAAGAAAGCAAAGACCACAUCAAUGAACUCUUGAAUGGACAAGAACGGCUGUUGAAGAUUAUGGAGCAAGAGAACAGUCGUUUCAAGGAAUGUGAAUAUACCUACAAUAUACCUGAACUGAUGCAACAAGUAAGGGUUUACCAAGGGAAAUUGACGAGGAUAAAGAAGCAAAUGACCAAUAUCCACGACCGGUGCGUCAAGCUGAAGCGCCGCUCACUGCGGCUCAAGGAGCAGACGGAGGCGCGUGCCGAGCGCAGUCGGCAGGACAAACUGCGCGCCCAGCAGCGCGAGGAGCAGCUGGUGGCACGGUUCGCCGGCGCUGGUCCCUUGUCCCGACCGGACCCGGGCGCCGGCCCGGCGCCCUGACUGCGUACGGCCAGUUCCUUGUAUGCACUGACCGAGCGCCGACUUCGCGGGGCGUUCACCGAGGGCACUUGUCAUGUACCCAUACUGUGAUGUGAAGUUUUUAUCAGCAUGUGCUGCAGUGUGAAGCCUGACCCGACUUCCACCUGACUUCUUUCAGUUCUUUCCCUACAUACGGUAAAUGUAUUUGGAGAGUAACGGGGAUACCCGUCCUUGCAAUCUGCGCUGAUAUCGGCUGUUUUAGAGGCUAUGCCGAUGGGAGAUCAUUUAGUGGCAUGGGUUAUAAAUUUAUUGUAAUUAUGGAUGAGGAAAACCAAUAGCGAAAGUGUUAUGAAAUAUAUGUACUGUUACAAUUG